CUUUUUGUCCCCUCCUUGCUGGUCUUCUAAGCAGAUUGAAGCAGCUUCAUCUCAUUCCUGGUUCAUCCUGAUUCCCUCAGUGGCUUGCUCCUGCAUUAGUAAUGUAAAACUGGCCCAAAAGGGUUUAAAAUUGUCAGAAGUUGAUCUUGAUCAGUUCAAAUAUUUUUUGACAAAGAAAAUCAGUUCUGGUCAGUUCAAAUCUAUUUUGACCAGUUUAAACCAAUUCUGCAGAACUCGAGCCUGUGGUCGGUAAACCCAGGAAGAUGGCUGAAGACUAUGCUGAUUCAAGCCAAAGCAAGGAAUCAGCUAUAGAAAAGUUAUUAAAAAGAAAAAAUCAUGAAGAAAAGAAACAGAAAGUAGAUCAUGGAAUCUGUCUGAUCUUCUUUUCCUAUGUAAUCAAGAAAGCCUGGACAGAGAAUUAUUAGUGGUGGUGAGGUCUCUCAACCUUCAGAUGGGUUCAGAGGUGCUGUCCAGGAUUCAGGGUCUUGCAAAGAGAUACGUAAAUAGAAUGCUCCACAAUAUGUGAAGAUAUUAGUGUCCCUUGUGAAUGCUCAACAAAGACUGACAUGAGCAGAGGAGGAUUUGAAUUAUCAGGAUGGGCCGCAAAGGAGAUUCUUCCAAGAUUUCAGAAGUUGGAAGGGAAGCAGAAUCCAUUUGAUAACACAAACACAUUGUUGCUUAUCUGUUGACUCAACUUGGGAUGAAGAAGCAGUUGAGCCAGUUGUGUGUGUAGAGCUCAAGGACAAAGGUCCUUAGCUUCUGCAGAAUACUAUCAUCACCAAGCUCACAGGCUUCUAGAGCAGACAUGUGCUUCAGUCCAUUCUGUGGGCUUCCAGCUUCUACUCUUGGAGUUCCAUCCUUUUUUAUGAUAUUACCUUUCUAACUGCAUAUGCUGUGGACUUCAAGCACUUGAAUCAGAUGUAGAGACAUUAUAUGGACUGCUUGAGUAGCCCCCACAACUGUGUAAGCCAAAUCCCUGUAACAAGUAUUUAUCCGUCCAUCCAUUCAUCUGUCUGUCUAUCUAUGAAUCUAUUGAUCUAUCUAGCUAUAUUAGUCCAUUCUUGCACUCUAUAAAGCACUACACAAGACUGGAUAAUUUAUAAAG
rnacentral:lncRNA from 10 species